rnacentral:rRNA from 1 species
CCUACGGGGGGCAGCAGUGAGGAAUAUUGGUCAAUGGACGUGAGCCUGAACCAGCCAAGUCGCGUGAAGGAUGACUGCCCUAUGGGUUGUAAACUUCUUUUAUAAAGGAAUAAAGCGAGGCACGUGUGCCUUUUUGCAUGUACUUUAUGAAUAAGGAUCGGCUAACUCCGUGCCAGCAGCCGCGGUAAUACGGAGGAUCCGAGCGUUAUCCGGAUUUAUUGGGUUUAAAGGGAGCGUAGAUGGGCUGUUAAGUCAGUUGUGAAAGUUUGCGGCUCAACCGUAAAAUUGCAAUUGAUACUGGCAGUCUUGAGUACAGUUGAGGUAGGCGGAAUUCGUGGUGUAGCGGUGAAAUGCGUAGAUAUCACGAAGAACCCCGAUUGCGAAGGCAGCUUACUAAACUGUGACUGACAUUGAUGCUCGAAAGUGUGGGGAUCAAACAGGAUUAGAUACCCUUGUAGUC